AGGAUUCUGAGAUAUACGCAGGCUUUAGUUUUGAACCUACAUUAGAGAAACGGAAGUUCAAUAUUUAGAUGAGUACAUGUACCCUAAGCAAUUGGCUGUAGGAGGAUGGAGACAUCUGUGAGGACAUCCACCUGUGGAGACAUAGGUGUCAAAAUAAAGUUAACGGUAUUUUGGAUGAUGU
rnacentral:other from 2 species